GCCCGGGUGGUGGAAUUGGUAGACACGCAGGACUUAAAAUCCUGUUCUAGCAAUAGAGUGCGGGUUCGAUUCCCGCCCCGGGCACCA
rnacentral:tRNA from 1 species